GAGAGCUCUUUUCUUGAUUCUAUGGGUGGUGGUGCAUGGGCCGUUCUUAGUUGGUGGAGUGAUUUGUCUGGUUAAUUCCGUUAACGAACGAGACCUCCGCGUGCUAAAUAGUUCCGCUUUACCAUUUUUGGUAGGGAUUGUGGACUUCUUAGAGGGACUUAUUGGGGUAAUCAAACCAGAGAUAGGUGGAGGGCAUAACCAGGGUCUGUGAUGCCCUU